UACAGAGGUCUCAAGCGUUGUUCGGAUUUAUUGGGCGUAAAGCGCGCGCAGGCGGUUUCUUAAGUCUGAUGUGAAAGCCCCCGGCUCAACCGGGGAGGGUCAUUGGAAACUGGGAAACUUGAGUGCAGGAGAGAAGAGCGGAAUUCCACGUGUAGCGGUGAAAUGCGUAGAGAUGUGGAGGAACACCAGUGGCGAAGGCGGCUCUUUGGCCUGUAACUGACGCUGAGGCGCGAAAGCGUGGGGAGCAAACAGG
rnacentral:rRNA from 1 species